GGAAAUAGCCCAAACCGUCGAGGUUUCCUCGGCGGGGUUGUAGGGCCCUUCACAUGAGAGUCACAAAAUCGUUUGGAAGCAGAAGCCCUUGGAAAGGGGCGCCGCAGAGGGUGACAGCCCCGUACGCGAAUCCGAGCGGUCUCUCGAAGGGUUCCUGAGUAGGUCGGGUCACGUGAAACCCCGACUGAAUCCACGGGGACCAUCCCGUAAGGCUAAACACAACCUGAUGACCGAUAGUGAACUCAGUAUGGCGACUGAAAGAUGAGAAGAACCCCUGCUAGGGGAGGUAUGUGAACCUGAAACCAUACGCUUACAAGCGGUCGGAGUCUCUUUAUGAGAUGACGGCGUGCCUUUUGCAUAA
rnacentral:rRNA from 1 species